AACGAACGCUGGCGGCAUGCCUAACACAUGCAAGUCGAACGAGACCUUCGGGUCUAGUGGCGCACGGGUGCGUAACGCGUGGGAACCUGCCCUUAGGUUCGGAAUAACUCCCCGAAAGGGGUGCUAAUACCGGCUAAUGUCUUCGGACCAAAGAUUUAUCGCCUUUGGAUGGGCCCGCGUUGGAUUAGCUAGUUGGUAGGGUAAAAGCCUACCAAGGCGACGAUCCAUAGCUGGUCAGAGAGGAUGAUCAGCCACACUGGUACUGAGACACGGCCCAGACUCCUACGGGAGGCAGCAGUGGGGAAUAUUGGAAAAUGGGCGAAAGCAUGAUCCAGUAAUGACGCGUGAGUGAUGAAGGCCUUAGGGUUGUAAAGCUAUUUUACCCGGGAUGAUAAUGACAGUACCGGGAGAAUAAGCUCCGGCUAACUCCGUG
rnacentral:rRNA from 1 species